GACGAACGCUGGCGGCGUGCCUAAUGCAUGCAAGUCGCACGCAGCACCUUCGGGUGCUGAGUGGCGCACGGCUGAGGAUCACGUGGGAACAUGCCUCCUUGUGGGGGACGAACACCGCGAAAGACGGUGCUAAUCCCGCCAUACGCUCGGUAACGAGGAAAGACGUGCAAACGACGCAGGGAGGAGUGGCCCGCCGGCCCGACUCAGGUCGGUUGGUGGGGUAAGNGGCCUACCAAGCCGGUGACGGGUAGCUGGUCUGUGAGGACAGACAGCCAGACUGGGACUGAGACACGGCCCAGACUCCUACGGGAGGCAGCAGCAAGGAA
rnacentral:rRNA from 1 species